UACAGAGGGGGCAAGCGUUGUUCGGAAUUACUGGGCGUAAAGCGUGCGCAGGCGGUUUUGUAAGCCAGGUGUGAAAGCCCCGGGCUUAACCUGGGAAUGGCAUUUGGGACUGCAAGGCUGGAGUGUGGCAGAGGAGACUGGAAUUCCUGGUGUAGCAGUGAAAUGCGUAGAUAUCAGGAGGAAUACCGAUGGCGAAGGCAGGGCUCUGGGCUGACACUGACGCUCAUGCACGAAAGCGUGGGGAGCAAACAGG
rnacentral:rRNA from 1 species